GGAUAGCUUAGUUGGUAGAACAUGAGGCUCUUAAUCUAAGGGCUAUGGGUUCAAGCCCCACCUUGGGGCA